AACGAACGCUUGCGGCAGGCUUAACACAUGCAAGUCGAACGGUGUAGCAAUACACAGUGGCGCACGGGUGAGUAACGCGUGGGAACGUGCCCUUCAGUACGGAAUAACGUCGGGAAACUGACGCUAAUACCGUAUAUUCCUGCCGGGGGAAAGAUUUAUCGCUGAAGGUUCGGCCCGCGUUUGAUUAGGGAGUUGGUGGGGUAAUGGCCUACCAAGCCUACGAUCUAUAGCUGGUCUGAGAGGAUGAUCAGCCACACUGGAACUGAGACACGGUCCAGACUCCUACGGGAGGCAGCAGUGGGGAAUAUUGGACAAUGGGGGAAACCCUGAUCCAGCCAUGCCGCGUGAGUGAUGAAGGCCUUAGGGUUGUAAAGCUCUUUUGUCAGGGAAGAUGAUGACGGUACCUGAAGAAUAAGCACCGGCUAACUUCGUGCCAGCCGCCGCGGUAA
rnacentral:rRNA from 1 species